rnacentral:rRNA from 1 species
CCCUUAGAUGUCCGGGGCCGCACGCGCGCUACACUGAAGGAAUCAGCGUGGCUUUCUCCCUGACCCGAAAGGGUUGGGAAACCCGUUGAAUCUCCUUCGUGAUAGGGAUUGGGGCUUGAAAUUGUUCCCCAUGAACGAGGAAUUCCCAGUAAGCGCGAGUCAUAAGCUCGCGUUGAUUACGUCCCUGCCCUUUGUACACACCGCCCGUCGCUACUACCGAUUGAACGGUUUAGUGAGGGCAUCGGAUUGGUCUCGGCCCGCUCUUUACCGGGCGGCGCCGUUGGUCGAGAAGGCGCUCGAACUUGAUCGUUUAGAGGAAGUAAAAGUCGUAACA